AUUGAACGCUGGCGGCAUGCCUUACACAUGUAAGUCGAACGGCAGCGCGGACUUCGGUCUGGCGGCGAGUGGCGAACGGGUGAGUAAUACAUCGGAACGUACCCUGUUGUGGGGGAUAACUAGUCGAAAGAUUAGCUAAUACCGCAUACGACCUGAGGGUGAAAGUGGGGGACCGCAAGGCCUCACGCAGCAGGAGCGGCCGAUGUCUGAUUAGCUAGUUGGUGGGGUAAAGGCCCACCAAGGCGACGAUCAGUAGCUGGUCUGAGAGGACGAUCAGCCACCCUGGGUCUGGGGCCCGGCCCCGACUCCUACGGGGGGCCGCAGGUGGGAAUUUUGGACAAUGGGGGACACCCUGCUCCCGCAAUGCCCGGUGUGUGAAGAAGGCCUGCGGGUUUUAAAGCCCUUUUGUCCGGAAAAAAAUCGCGCUUGUUAAUCCCGGGCGGGGAUGGCGGGACCGGAAAAAUAAGCCCCGGCUAACUAC
rnacentral:rRNA from 1 species